rnacentral:rRNA from 1 species
GACGAACGCUGGCGGCGUGCCUAAUACAUGCAAGUAGAACGCACAGUUUAUACCGUAGCUUGCUACACCAUAGACUGUGAGUUGCGAACGGGUGAGUAACGCGUAGGUAACCUGCCUGGUAGCGGGGGAUAACUAUUGGAAACGAUAGCUAAUACCGCAUAAUAUUGAUUAUUGCAUGAUAAUUAAUUGAAAGGUGCAAUUGCACCACUACCAGAUGGACCUGCGUUGUAUUAGCUAGUAGGUGAGGUAACGGCUCACCUAGGCGACGAUACAUAGCCGACCUGAUAGGGUGAUCGGCCACACUGGGACUGAGACACGGCCCAGACUCCUACGGGAGGCAGCAGUAGGGAAUCUUCGGCAAUGGACGAAAGUCUGACCGAGCAACGCCGCGUGAGUGAAGAAGGUUUUCGGAUCGUAAAGCUCUGUUGUAAGAGAAGAACGGGUGUGAGAGUGGAAAGUUCACACUGUGACGGUAUCUUACCAGAAAGGGACGGCUAACUACGUG